rnacentral:guide_RNA from 1 species
CAUAACAACUAAAUAGAUGACAGUUUCGGAUCAUAGUUAAUU